rnacentral:pre_miRNA from 1 species
ACCACUGAGCCAUCUCUCCAGCCCCUCUGAUUCUUUUAAAAAGAAAGAAAUGAGGGCUGGAGAGAUGGCUCUGUGGU